rnacentral:rRNA from 1 species
UACGUAGGGGGCAAGCGUUGUCCGGAAUCAUUGGGCGUAAAGCGCGUGUAGGCGGCUUGGUAAGUCCGCUCUGAAAGCCCGGGGCUCAACCCCGGGAGGCGGGUGGAUACUGUCAAGCUCGAGUCCGGAAGAGGCGAGUGGAAUUCCUGGUGUAGCGGUGAAAUGCGCAGACAUCAGGAGGAACACCAAUGGCGAAGGCAGCUCGCUGGGACGUGACUGACGCUGAGACGCGAAAGCGUGGGGAGCAAACAGG